AUUGAACGCUGGCGGCAUGCCUUACACAUGCAAGUCGAACGGUAACAGGUUAAGCUGACGAGUGGCGAACGGGUGAGUAAUGUAUCGGAACGUGCCCAGUCGUGGGGGAUAACUGCUCGAAAGAGCAGCUAAUACCGCAUACGACCUGAGGGUGAAAGCGGGGGAUCGCAAGACCUCGCGCGAUUGGAGCGGCCGAUAUCAGAUUAGGUAGUUGGUGAGGUAAAGGCUCACCAAGCCGACGAUCUGUAGCUGGUCUGAGAGGACGACCAGCCACACUGGGGCUGAGACACGGACCAGACUCCUACGGGAGGCAGCAGUGGGGAAUGUUGGACAAUGGGCGCAAGCCUGAUCCAGCCAUGCCGCGUGCGGGAAGAAGGCCUUCGGGUUGUAAACCGCUUUUGUCAGGGAAGAAAAGGUUCUGGCUAAUACCUGGGACUCAUGACGGUACCUGAACAAUAAGCACCGGCUAACUACGUG
rnacentral:rRNA from 1 species